GGCAGCUCCUGUGAUUCCACAGCUCAAGCUAGCCAACCAUGGAUUCUCGUUGCAUUUACGAGCAUGAUUAUUGAGAAGAAAAAAAUAUACAAAUUGUGUUUCUUUUGGCAACUGUGGUUACUCAUCAACAGCAGUAGCUGCUGAUCACUCAAUUUCUGAUCAGAAUCUGCCACUGUCAUGCAAAAUUUCAGGCGUUACUGCCAACCCCAACAAAUCUCUGCUUCAAAAUUUUGAGCUGCUGCUUUUGGUUUUGUUUUAAGAUUCUUG
rnacentral:misc_RNA from 1 species